rnacentral:rRNA from 1 species
UACGGGGGGAGCAAGCGUUGUUCGGAUUUACUGGGCGUAAAGGGCGCGUAGGCGGCGCAACAAGUCACUUGUGAAAUCUCCGGGCUUAACCCGGAGCGGCCAAGUGAUACUGUCGUGCUAGAGUGCGGAAGGGGCUACUGGAAUUCUCGGUGUAGCGGUGAAAUGCGUAGAUAUCGUGAGGAACACCUGCGGCGAAGGCGGGUAGCUGGGCCGACACUGACGCUGAGGCGCGAAAGCCAGGGGAGCGAACGGG